CAGUAGCCGCGGGAAUACAGAGGAUGCAAGCGUUAUCCGGAGUGAUUGGGCGUAAAGCGUCUGUAGAUGGCUUUUCAAGUCCGCCGUCAAAUCCCAGGGCUCAACCCUGGACAGGCGGUGGAAACUACCAAGCUGGAGUACGGUAGGGGCAGAGGGAAUUUCCGAUGGAGCGGUGAAAUGCGUUGAGAUCGGAAAGAACACCAACGGAGAAAGCACUCUGCUGGGCCGACACUGACACUGAGAGACGAAAUCUAGGGGAGCAAAUGGGAUUAGAUACCCCAGUAGUCCCUGUCUCUUAUAA
rnacentral:rRNA from 1 species